AUGAGUGGCUGUGAUCUUUUGGGAGGCAGAGUGAUUUUAUCCCUUUGUUGUAGAAAGCAUGACCUUUCAGGCUUCUCCUACUUUCCACUUUAUGCCUGUAGUCAUAGCAUUAUUAUUUCCUGCAUAUGCCAUAUUCCCCCACACCAUUUAGUUAAUUAUAUUAUUGUUUAUCAUGAUUUCACAGGACUGGCUGCCCAAGUAGGGAAUAUGUGUGCACUCAGUUGUCACUGGCCAGGGGACUUAGCAGAUGGAGCUCGGAUUUCAGAUCUUCCAAGGCUUUGUCAAACCCUUCCCAGCCCCACACCUCUGCCAAGACUGGAUCAACAGGGACCAGUUUGUUCAGCCCGAACAAGAUCGACUAUUAUUAAACAGAGCCAACAACUCUAUGUGAACUUGGUAAAGAAAUAA
rnacentral:lncRNA from 1 species